CUUGGUGUAGCUCAAUUGGUUAGAGCACUGACCUGAUACGUCAGCGUGUGUUUGGAUUUCUGGUUCGCAAGCGAAAAUGAGCUGAAAUUUGCCCCAGUGAGGCGCGAAAAGCGGAGUGUAGCAGCGCUACAUGAGCAUUUUCGGAACGAAACUGGGGUGAAUUUUAGCCAUUUGUAGCGCGAAGCAGAAGUCCAAACACACGCUCAAGGGCUGGAAGUUCAAGUCUUUCCAUCAAGA
rnacentral:tRNA from 1 species